rnacentral:rRNA from 1 species
UACGUAGGCAGCAAGCGUUGUUCGGAAUUACUGGGCGUAAAGAGUGUGUAGGCGGUGCUCUAAGUUCGGUGUGAAAUCUCCCGGCUCAACUGGGAGGGUGCGCCGGAAACUGGGGUGCUGGAGCGCGGGAGAGGAAAGCGGAAUUCCUGGUGUAGCGGUGAAAUGCGUAGAUAUCAGGAGGAACACCGGCGGUGUAGACGGCUUUCUGGACCGUAGCUGACGCUGAGACACGAAAGCGUGGGUAGCAAACAGA